GAACAAUUCCCCUCAGACAGACACUUCAAAAACCUUGGAGUCACCUUUUGUUCAUUUUGCUACUUUUAGGUCCACAACAGCUUAAGUCCCCUAAAUUUUCAACAUGUCAAAUAUAAAACUGUAAAUGACAUAAAAUUUAAUAAGGAAAAAAGUGAAAAACAGAAGUUUAACAUUAAAAUUUAGUGUUCUCUGCUGGGUGUGGUGGCUAAUGCCUAUAAUCCCAGCACUUUGGGAGGCUGAGGAGGGUGGCUCAUUUGAGGUCAGGAGUUCAAGACCAGCCUGCCCAACAUGGCAAAAACCCCAUCUCUACUAAAAAUACAAAAAUUAACCAGGCAUGGUGACGGGUGCCUGUAAUCCCAGCUACUUAGGAGGCUGAGACAGGAGAAUCGUUUGAACCCAGGAGGCAAAGGUUGCAGUGAGCCGAGACAGCACCACUGCACUCCAGCCUGAGCAACAAGAGCGAAACUCCGUCUCCAAAACUAAUAAUAACGAAUAAAAAUAAAAUAACAGAAAAAACUCAAAUAUCCUCUUCUUAUAAGGACACCAGUCAUAUUGGAUUAGGGACUACCCUAAUUAUCUCAUUUUAAAUUAAUUAUCUCUUUAAAGAUCCUAUCUCCAAAUACAGUCACAUUCUGAGGUACUAGGGAUUAGGAUUUUAACAUAAGAAUUUUGAAGGGAUACAAUUUAGCCCAUAACAAUAACCCUGCCUCAGUUUCUUCAUCAGUAAAAUGGGAAUGAUAGGAAUAGUAACUACAUCACACGGUUGUUAGGAGAAUUAAUGUAUGUAAAGUGCUUAUUGCAGAGCCUGCAUAGACAAAGCACUAAAUAGAUGUUUGCUAUCAUAAUCUCUACCAUUGUUGCUGGUUCCUCUUUUUUUUUUUUUUUUUUUUUUUUUUUUUUUUUUUUUUUUUUUUUUUUUUUUGAGACAGAGUCUCACUCUGUCACCGAGGCUGGAGUGCAAAGGUGUGAUCUUGGCUCACUGCAACCUCCGCUUCCUGGGUUCAAGUGAUUCCCCUGCCUCAGCCUCCCAAGUAGCUGGGAUUACAGAUGCAUGCCACUAUGCUGGGCUAAUUUUUUUUGUAUUUUUGUAGAGACAGGGUUUCACC
rnacentral:lncRNA from 1 species